UGCCAUCAUCAUCUGUAAUACGAGGGGUGCUAUCGUUGUCCGGAAUCAUUGGGCGUAAAGGGUCCGUAGGCGGUUUAACCAGUCAAUUGUUAAAGACAUCGGCUUAACCGAUGGAGUGCAGUUGAAACUGUUAGAAUAGAGUUUAGGAGAGGAAAGUGGAAUUUCUGGUGUAGCGGUGACAUGCGUAGAUAUCAGAAGGAACACCAAUGGCGAAGGCAACUUUCUGGCCUAAAACUGACGCUGAGGGACGAAAGCGUGGGGAGCGAACAGGAUUAGAUA
rnacentral:rRNA from 1 species